rnacentral:lncRNA from 12 species
AUGUCUGUCCCUCCCAUCGGGGCGGAUCCCCGGGACUUCGGAGCGUCUCCCACGGUGGCCCAGAGAGGGGAGGGGAUGGCAGCUGCCCGGCACCACGACCUGCCUCCCAAGCGCCUGAACGUCUGGGUGAUGGCCCCUCAGGGUGGAGCUGACCGCGCCCCUGUCCUCGCAGGGCUCAGGAAAGUGCGGGGGCGCAGCAUCACUCCGCGGCUGGGCAGCCACCGAGGGACACGUUCUUCUGUGCUCAGGGAGAGGAUGCGCCCGGGGUUGGGGAGGGCAGGCCCGGGCUGGCGCAGCCGACAUCCCCCGCGGGGCCUGGGACCCUGCCUCCCCCCAACCCACCCUUCGGAGGUGAGCCUGCAGCGCCCAGCAGGCGCCCUCGCUCGCCAGGCACGCAGACAGGGGCCUGCAACCCGGUGGCUGCUCCGCAGGGUUAGGGUCAUCCUUAGGAUCGCUGAACAUUACAGGACAGAAGAAUCGAGGAAGGGUUAGAAGCACCGGUAGAGGCAAUAAGGCAUCUAUGGAGACCCGGCUUCGGGACUCCGCUCUGCUAGGAACGACUUGGGCUUUUAUUCCUUCUGAGCCCCAGAACUUUAAAAGCCAAGGCCUCAGAUGAGACAAGAUCUCUGCCCCCGGGUGUUCUCGCCUUGGCCCUCGAUCUCAGAGUAGUCCCACUGCAGGUGCAGGACGCUCCUGCCGCCCCUGGUACCCCGGGCCUUGCUGCUUCCUCUGACCACCUCGGAUGCUUCAGAAUCCAGCAGGUCUCCGUCUCUCCGUUGGAGGAGAUGCUAGUCCCGGAGCCUGAAGGACCCUCAGAUGAUGAUGUGAUCGGAGUAAUACCGCCUUUCCAAGGUCGAUUAUUUCCAUUCCAUCCGUGCAUGAAGAAUUCUGGUGGACCAGGACAGACUGCUGGCGGGAAGCGGGGAAACUAGCUGGUUUCUUUCGAUGCUUCCAUAGGCGUUUGAAGGAGGCUUGGUUCCACCGUGACAUGUUGAAGAGAGCACUGUCAGGAGGCUGGGGUUGCGACAGUCUAUGCUCAAGGGCUUUCUAGACCAUUCAGGAAUAGAAACAAACCAAUAACCAGUGUGGUCUCAAGGAUAGGUAGGCUUCAGCCUCCUUAUCUACAAGAUGUGGCUGGUGCAUUAACUGCUUUUAUUUUUCCAAGUGUGACACACAUAAAGAUUCUCUUCCUUACCCAAGUCAUAGGAGAGUUUUAUUAAAGAACAAGAACAAGAUUUUGGACACUUCUAAUGCAGACACCAAACGUGUUACAAUGUGGUCGGGCCAUAGAGGAGUUUAUAGCAUGUUCAUAGAGCGAUCUGUAGGUUAAAGCAUGUGACUCAAGGGAUCAGGACAAUUCCUGGAAAACUAUUUGUACGAAUCCUUAUUUUAAUUUCCAUCUUCAAAACCAAGGUAGUACAUAAUAAGCAGCCCUUGUGGUUAGGACUCUUCUUGUUCAAUAAGAGUUUUUUCUUUAAUGUUCCAUCACCACUUAUUCUAAAUCGACUGAAAUGUUCCUUUGCAUGGAAUUGUCUUUAGUCACAGAAACCCACUUUAUGUUACGGAAAAAGAAAAAAAAAAGUGUUUACUCGGAUGUUAGGCUGAUUAUUCUAAGACCUACUUUCUCCAGAAAUGGCAUUUUAAGUGUUAAAAAAAAAAAAAAAAAAAAGCUGGGCAGGGUGGCUUGUACUUCUCUUUUCCCCCUCUUGCUUAGAUGUACCUUCAGCCGGAAACUCAUGAGCUCACACUUUCUAAGCAUGUUCAAUAAUGCAGUGGUUGACCUCCACUGGAUGUUUCAGGACUGCAGGAAGUGGUUGAGGGUUAUUCAAUAGUUGGUGUUCUCCCUUUAUGUCUGCACCAAUCCUGGGCUGCACUACAGAGUUGGGAAAUAUUGUUUGUGUUGGAAGUGGUAUCUUUCAGAAGAGAUGUAGAAACCAAGGUCUAAGUUGCUUGUGGUCACUAAACACACAUAACGUUUUCUCUGAGUGUAGGGAUGUUCUCGAGUUUCCUCUCUAAAUUUAUAUCCCUUUAUUCGUGUAUAUUUUUUCCAAGUAAUUUGAAGACUCUAUUCCUCUUUUCCUAAACAAAACUAGAAUGGAGUAUAACUAUGCUUGUUUGCCCUAUAACUAGACCAUUUUAGGAAUGGGUAAAACUGAUUCUCCUCUAAGGAAAGGUCAUAAGCUAAAAUCUAAGUUUCUUAUAAAAAGAGUAAAGGUGAAUUAAUAUUUUCUCUCUUUUACUGUUGGCCUAUCUUAUAAAUUACAUAGCGUUUUCUUUUUUUUGCGAUGUUGUCUUCUGAACCUUUUAUUUUUCCAGUACCAACAUUUUAAGUGUUUCUCAUUUGUGCAAGAUAACAAUAUGAUUUAUAAAAUGUCUCAAAAAACACUCCAUUCCAGCUCUUUUCACCUCUAGUGUUGCUUUUUAACACUAAAUAUUCACUGUACACAUACCAAGUCUACAAAACCUAUGCACACACACUCUCUCUCUCUCUCUCUCUCUCUCAUCUUUCCAUUUGACCACUCUGAAAAUGGUCAGAACAGGAUAGUAAUGCACAAAUCUUUCUUUGAAUGUUUCCUUAUGUUAGAUCAAUUCCUUCUGAGUUCUGGGCUUGCCAAUGCUAAAUUUCCUGCCAGGGCAGUAGUCUAUUUUUAACAUUUUGGGGGCUUAUUCUUCGUUCCAAAUCUAACAGGCAUAUUCUGUGAAGUGAAAGAGAGAAAGCUGAUGGGUACUCUUACAAAUCAGGACCAUCAGGAUUUGCAAUUUCUGUAGAAUCAAAGAUAUGAAUGAGAAAGACCAAUUAGAACACUUAAAAGAUCAUUUGUCACUGCUUUAAUCUUCAUGUACUCUUUACUCAUCAUUUUCUUUGACUAAAAUUAUCAGAAUCUUUGUCAUAUUCAUCUCAAGGCCAAAUGGGAACAGUUGUGUGCAUUUUAUAUUUCCAAUAUUUUGGAGCAUUUUAACAUGUCAUACUAGAUUAUGGGUGGUGGGCGCCUGUUUUAAUCGAGAGAGUUUUAGUUUGUGGCAUAUUCAGCAUCAUGACAUCCCAGUGUCAUUCCUCUAGCUCCGUAUUUCACAUACAAAUGAAGACUGAGGGAUUUAUUUCUGUUAUUCAAUAGCAUUUGUUGAAUUCAGAGAUUAAUAGAUCAUCUUCAACCCUGAAACAGAGGCCCUCUGAAACAUCAGACCCAAAAAAUUGGACACGGCCUAUUAACCCAAAAGAACAGGUUGCCAAUGAUCUCCAUGUUUAUUUAAAUAUUUAGCUCUAAAGGAAGCAAUCAUUCCUUUAUACUUCUUUAAAUUUAGUAUUGACAUUUUUAUUUUGGGAAAGGAGGUCUUUUUUUUUUUUUUAACAUGGAUACAGGAAAAGAAAACUCUCCAAUAAAAAUAUUGUCUAAAAAGUUUGUUUUGUCUGC